rnacentral:misc_RNA from 1 species
GAUGAAGAACGCAGCGAAAUGCGAUAAGUAAUGUGAAUUGCAGAAUUCAGUGAAUCAUCGAAUCUUUGAACGCACCUUGCGCUCCUUGGUAUUCCGAGGAGCAUGCCUGUUUGAGUGUCAUGAAAUUCUCAACCUUUUCAGCUUUCUUUGUUGAUCAGGCUUGGAUGUGGGAGUAUGCGGGCUUCUCAGAAGUCGGCUCUCCUGAAAUGCAUUAGCGGGACCUUUGUUGCCUAGCUUUGGUGUGAUAAUUAUCUACGCCAUUGUAGUCAAGCAGCUUAAAAUGAGGUUUCAGCUUCUAACCGUCUCCCCUGAGACAACUUUUUGACAAUUUGACCUCAAAUCAGGUAGGACUACCCGCUGAACUUAAGCAUAUCAAUAAGCGGAGGA